UACGUAGGGGGGCAAGCGUUGUCCGGAUUCAUUGGGCGUAAAGAGCGUGUAGGCGGCCAGGUAGGUCGGUUGUGAAAACUGGAGGCUCAACCUUCAGACGUCGACCGAAACCAUCUGGCUAGAGUCCGGGAGAGGAGAGUGGAAUUCCUGGUGUAGCGGUGAAAUGCGCAGAUAUCAGGAAGAACACCCGUGGCGAAAGCGGCUCUCUGGAACGGUACUGACGCUGAGACGCGAAAGCGUGGGGAGCAAACAGG
rnacentral:rRNA from 1 species